rnacentral:rRNA from 1 species
CGAAGGGAGAAAUUCAUUCGCGUCUCGCGGCAGGCGUCGGACGGAUAUCGAGACGGGUGACGUUCGCGUCGUCCGCUCAUUUCGUUCGUCGAUCCGGCAGCGAACGCGUGCACUUUUCUCCUGGUAGGACGUCGCGAUCCGUUGGGUGUCGGUCUACGGCCCGUGGUGGAGCCCGAGCGACUCGUUUCGCGCGGACCCUCGGUGUCCCGGCCGACCCGCCCGACGGUACACGAACGGUUCGGGGUCGCUCCUCUUUUUCGAGCGUCCGACCGGCGACAAGUGCGCCGGAUGAUUGUCGACGAUCGGACCGGGUGCCGAUCGCGACCUCCGGUGGCUGCUGGUCGCCGAGCUCUCUCGGACAGAUCCGAACCGAUCUGCGACGCUAUAGCUUUGGGUACUUUCAGGACCCGUCUUGAAACACGGACCAAGGAGUCUAGCAUGUGCGCGAGUCAUUGGGAAUCGCAAAACCUAAAGGCGCAAUGAAAGUGAAGGUCCUCCUUGCGGGGACCGAGGGAAGACGGGCGGUCGGCAUCCGCUAGGGUCCGCCGCCCCGCACUCCCGGGGCGUCUCGUUCUCAUCGCGAGAAGAGGCGCACCAAGAGCGUACACGCUG